GUAGGAUUACCGUAAGUCGACCAUGACCUAAUUUCGACCACUUUGUUUACAUUAAAAACGCGGCCAUUUGGAUGACGUCACACGCAAGCGCUCCGAGUAUUUCGAUGAAGUGACAUAACUACGCUUAUAAACAAAAACAAAUAAAAACAAAAUGAGGAAAAAACAGGCUUAUCUCAAACAAUUUUGUAAAAUGGGCACAGUGUGACAAUAGAGCCUGCAACCACUGGGUACACCUGUCAUUUUGUACAGAAAUUAAAGUCAUCAGAAGAGGUGCAACAUUUAUGUGCCCAUGCUGUGCUAAAGAAGAGUGAAAAUUGUUCUUAAGAAAAGUGAAAGAAACAUGUUCAAUUGUAUUUAUAAAAUAUUGAAAACAUA